UACGGGGGGGCAAGCGUUGUUCGGAAUUAUUGGGCGUAAAGGGUAGGUAGGGGGUCUUAUUUGUCUGAGGUGAAAGCCUUGAGCUUAACUCAAGAAGUGCCUCAGAAACGGUGAGACUAGAGUUCUGGAGAGGGUCGUGGAAUUCCCGGUGUAGCGGUGAAAUGCGUAGAGAUCGGGAGGAACAUCAGUGGCGAAAGCGACUUCCUGGACCAAUACUGACGCUCAUGUGCGAAAGCGUGGGGAGCAAACAGG
rnacentral:rRNA from 1 species